AGCAGUCGCCGCGGGAAUACGUAGGGUGCAAGCGUUAAUCGGAAUUACUGGGCGUAAAGCGUGCGCAGGCGGUUUGUUAAGACAGAUGUGAAAUCCCCGGGCUCAACCUGGGAACUGCAUUUGUGACUGGCAAGCUAGAGUGUGGCAGAGGGGGGUGGAAUUCCGCGUGUAGCAGUGAAAUGCGUAGAUAUGCGGAGGAACACCGAUGGCGAAGGCGACUCUCUGGUCUGUAACUGACGCUGAGGAGCGAAAGCGUGGGGAGCGAACAGGAUUAGAUACCCGUGUAGUCCCUGUCUCUUAUAC
rnacentral:rRNA from 1 species